rnacentral:rRNA from 1 species
GAUGAACGCUGGCGGCGUGCCUAAUACAUGCAAGUCGAGCGGACGGACGAGAUACUUGUUUCUAUGAUGUUAGCGGCGGACGGGUGAGUAACACGUGGAUAACCUACCUAUAAGACUGGGAUAACUUCUGGAAACCGAAGCUAAUACCGGAUAAUAUUUUGAACCACAUGUUUCAAGAGUGAAAGACGCUCUUGCAUUAACUAAUAAUUGUCCCCGGUCUGAUUUAGCUAGUUGGUAAGGUAACGCCUUACCAGGGGAACGAAGCAAACCCGACUUGGAGGGGGAAUCGGCAACAUGGGAACGGAACCCCGCUCCAGAUCCCUACGGGAGCAACAAGUAGGGAAUCUUCCGAAAUGGGCGAAAGCCGGACGGAGCAACGCCGGUUGAGUGAGGAAGUUUUCCGGUCCUUAAAAUUCGGUUAUUAGGGAAGAACAUAUGUGUAAGUAAAUGCGCACAUCUUGACGGUACCUAAUCAGAAAGCCACGGCUAACUACGUG